CUCUCUCCUAAUAUCUAAUUGGCUAUGCACACAAGCCCCGCCCACUCAAAGUUUCAUGUACCUCCUUUUGUCCAGUAUCGUUGUGAAACAACGAAUUGUCGUCCUUGUGUCCCCAUUGGCUGUCGGUGUUCAGGACACACUAAUCACACAGAUUGUUUUUUGUUUGUUUGUUUUUUUGUUUGUUUGUUUUAUAAAAACUAGAUUUGUAACAUGCAGCUUUUGGCAUAUUUUACUGAUUUAAAAAAUAUUCAACUUCCUCUAUAUGACCGAAAGAGAGAGAGAGAGAUUGUGUCAAUGUGUGUGUGUGUCUGUGUUUGUGUGUGUGUGUGUAUAUGUGUGUCCAUUCAUGGUGUUUAAUCAAAAAUAAUGAAUAAGUAUAAGUUUAGGAGAAAUGGCCAAGUUUAUAAACAUUACUUUUAACAUGUGAUUCAUACGACUCACCCGUCCGACUCAUACGAUUCAUCUGAAUGACUUAUACGACUCACUUUCCUGAUUCAUACGACUCACCCGUCCGACUCAUACGAUUCAUCUGAAUGACUUAUAUGACUCACUUUCCUGAUUCAUACGACUCACAUGUCUGACUCAUAUGACCCAUAAACUGACUCACACUGACAUAACCUGCCCAACUAACUUAUUCGAUUCAAUUGAAUGACUCAGGUGACACAAGGAGUUGAUUUUUUAAAACCUUGCUGACUGGCUGGAUUUAACUCGUGAGUCAUCUUUUAUUGACUCGUCCACAGUACAAAUCACUGACAAAGCCUUGUAUCACGCGCUAACCGACUCUUGGACCCAACUCAUGAACUUUAUAUUGACUUACUGACCUGUCGUGGGAUUGGAAGGCCAUUGGGGCAGUAGGUUACUGAUCACAGAUAAGGCUCUGGGUUACUGAUCAUAAGCUUCCACUUUUGGGCCCUUAAGCAAAAACCUCACAAACAAUGCUCCAAGGGCACUUCUGACCAUUUGCCCAGACCCUUCACCAUGGCCCCUCACCCGUACCCAUCAUCCUGACUUAAACAUAAUAUAUAUGAGUGAGCCAUGACAGACAACUGAUUCACUUGCCAGCUCACUUGAGUCACCAACUGACUCUUAAACAUGACUCCUACCCCAUUGACAAAUUCUCCUUAAUCGGAUCAGAAGUGCAGUGAAUUCUAGGAGGAAACAUAUUUAAUACUUUAUAUGACACACACACACACACACACACACACACACACACACACACACACACACACACACACACACACA